rnacentral:rRNA from 1 species
CGCCCUUACGGGAGGCAGCAGCAAGGAAUUUUCCCCAAUGGGCGCAAGCUGCAGGGAGCAACGCCGCGUGGAGGACGACGGCCUUCGGGUUGUAAACUCCUUUCGGGUGGGACGACCACGACGGUACCACCAGAAGCAGCCCCGGCUAACUCUGUGUCAGCAGCCGCGGUAAGACAGAGGGGGCAAGUGUUGUCCGGAGUUACUGGGCGUAAAGGGCGCGGAGGCGGUCUGCGGCGUCGGCGCUGAAAGCCCGCUUAACGGGGCGAGGCGUGCCGAUACGCGCAGACUCGAGGCGAGCAGAGGGUGGCGGAAAUUCCGGGUGGAGCGGUGAAAUGCGUAGAGAUCCGGAGGAACGGCAGUGGGGAAGCCGGCCACCUGGGCUCGACCUGACGGUGCGGCGCGACAGGUGGGGGAGCAAACCGGAUUAGAUACCCGGGUAGGCCAGGCCGGAAACGAGGC